CCUACGGGUGGCAGCAGUGGGGAAUAUUGCACAAUGGGGGAAACCCUGAUGCAGCGACGCCGCGUGAGUGAAGAAGUAUUUCGGUAUGUAAAGCUCUAUCAGCAGGGAAGAAAUAGCGACCUUUGGGUCGCCAGACGGUAGCUGAUUAAGAAGCCCCGGCUAACUACGUGCCAGCAGCCGCGGUAAUACGUAGGGGGCAAGCGUUAUCAGGAUUUACUGGGUGGAAAGGGAGGUAAGACGGCAGCGCAAGUCUGAAGUGAAAUGCCGGGUCUUAACCCCGGAACUGCUUUGGAAACUGUGCAGCUAGAGUGCAGGAGAGGUAAGUGGAAUUUCUAGUGUAGCGGUGAAAUGCGUAGAUAUUAGGAGGAACACCAGUGGCGAAGGCGGCUUACUGGACUGUAACUGACGUUGAGGCUCGAAAGCGUGGGGAGCAAACAGGAUUAGAUACCCCUGUAGUC
rnacentral:rRNA from 1 species